AUUGAACGCUGGCGGCAUGCUUUACACAUGCAAGUCGAACGGCAGCGCGGGCUUCGGCCUGGCGGCGAGUGGCGAACGGGUGAGUAAUACAUCGGAACGUGCCCAGUAGUGGGGGAUAGCUCGGCGAAAGCCGGAUUAAUACCGCAUACGACCUGAGGGUGAAAGCGGGGGAUCUUCGGACCUCGCGCUAUUGGAGCGGCCGAUGGCAGAUUAGCUAGUUGGUGGGGUAAAGGCCUACCAAGGCGACGAUCCGUAGCUGGUCUGAGAGGACGACCAGCCACACUGGGACUGAGACACGGCCCAGACUCCUACGGGAGGCAGCAGUGGGGAAUUUUGGACAAAGGGCGAAAGCCUGAUCCAGCAAUGCCGCGUGUGUGAUGAAGGCCUUCGGGUUGUAAAGCACUUUUGGCGGGAACGAAAAGGACUGUGCCAAUACCACGGUUCGAUGACGGUACCCGCAGAAUAAGCACCGGCUAACUACGUG
rnacentral:rRNA from 1 species